rnacentral:rRNA from 1 species
GACGAACGCUGGCGGCGUGCUUAACACAUGCAAGUCGAACGGAAAGGCCCUGCUUUUGUUGGGUGCUCGAGUGGCGGACGGGUGAGUAACACGUGAGUAACCUGCCCUUGACUUUGGGAUAACUUCAGGAAACUGGGGCUAAUACCGGAUAGGAGCUCCUGCCGCAUGGUGGGGGUUGGAAAGUUUCGGCGGUUGGGGAUGGACUCGCGGCUUAUCAGCUUGUUGGUGGGGUAGUGGCGUACCAAGGCUUUGACGGGUAGCCGGCCUGAGAGGGUGACCGGCCACAUUGGGACUGAGAUACGGCCCAGACUCCUACGGGAGGCAGCAGUGGGGAAUAUUGCAGAAUGGGCGGAAGCCUGAUGCAGCAACGCCGCGUGCGGGAUGACGGCCUUCGGGUUGUAAACCGCUUUCGCCUGUGACGAAGCGUGAGUGACGGUAAUGGGUAAAGAAGCACCGGCUAACUACGUG